GUCUGGGGGAGGGCGGGGUGUCUUCAAAACAGGCACCGCCUUUCCGGGUUUUCUUGCUUUUUUUCCCCCCUCUCCUUUUCUUGGAGCUGUCGUGACCCAGCUUGUCCCCUCUCCCUGCGGUCGUCGGGACAGCCAGGCUGAGGACAGCGGGAGCCCCCACACGUGCUGAGGGAGGGCCUGCUGGUCCCCGAGGCCAGAGCAGGGCCUGGGCCAGCAUCCAAGCCACAGAGAUUAAUUUCCACGCCAGAAGCCUUGGAGGUGUAGUUGUGCUGCUCUUUAAUUAGGCGUCACAGUCACAGUCCAGUGGGAGAGUCUGGCUCCCUGGGUCGGGCUCUGCUGGGUCCUGCCCUGCUCCCACUCUGGAAGAAGGUCCGGGGACACACGUCAAAGCAGCUCGGAUUCCAGGUUGAGUUGCAGCCCCCGAAUCUACGCCGGAUGCAAAAGGCUGGCUUUGUGCCCUGUGGCAUCUCGUGCCGAGAGGUCCCUUCUGCUCUCAAGUCCUCCUUGGAGACGCCUGGCCACCCAGGAAGUCCCUGGACGCCUUGAGGCCCCUCUUCACGAGGGAGAGGGGUCUGAACUCGUUUCUGGAAGACCCUGGCUCACUAAAUUUCUUGUAUUCUUGGCAAACCAUUUGGCCUGGUCGGAUCUGUUUUCUACUUACCUCAAGGGAUUACUUUAGGAACUGAGGGCUCCAAGCAGCCCCUAAAGCUUGGCCAGCGCCCCCCCAACCCCCCAGGACACCCCCGUAACCACAAACCUCCCCACCGAGCUCCAUGGAGGCAAACUGUUACCAAGGACUAGCAUCCGAGUACAACAACCCUUUAAAUGAGUCCAGAAGACCCGAAAUGGGUGUUUCCUUUGCUUGGGUAUGUGGCACUAAGCAAGAGCCGGCAGCUGAAUCGACCUCAGGGAGGUUCCUCUGUGACUGGCGUCCCCACCACGCCACUU
rnacentral:lncRNA from 1 species